CCAGGCUUCUACUUGGGUCUCUCCUGCGGGACUCACUGUCCCGUGGGUCCCGAUCUUUUCACCGAUCUGACUUCCCACAAUGUCUGCUGGGAGGUCCAGGCAGGAGCGCCAAGCCUCCAGGAGAAAAUCCCUUCUACUCCUAGGAGAUGCCGUGGGAGAGAUGGACAGACUGGCGUCCUGGAAGGAGCUCCCAACUCGGGAGUCCAGGAGCUGCAGUGACAGACCCGUGGCUCCUGAGCUGACCCUGACCUGGCCCACAGGUCAACUGGGUGGCACCCAAGCAGGAGGAAAACUAUCCACACUGCCUGACCCCAGGAGGCCCACUAUCAGAGGUGAGUUCAGGGUGAAGUGAACUGGCUUUUUAUUUAUGGACUCAUAGAGUGUCAAGUCUGGAAGAGACCUCCAAAAUAUCCUGAGCUACCCUCCAGAGGCAGGAAGCAAGCUCUAAAAUGCCUUAAGGUCUACUAUGCCUGGCUGACUGCUGACAAGUGGUGCUAGUCCCCUCGGUUCUUCUGUUUGUUCUAUACUGUGCUCUAACCUACCCCAAGGUCUCUCUGGGCUUGUCCUCAGGCUACCGGUGGAGGCAGCACUCACCAGGAGAGUUGUGAAGACUGCUGGACUCUAGACUCCCCUCCACCCUGCCUCCACCCCUGCCCCUAGCCUCACCGCACCACCACACCCAUCGCUGGAAGUCCUGUUGGGUCCAGAUGCUGAGUUCCUGGGCAGUUUCCCUGCUCCACUCAACAGAGGCCAGGCAGUGCCUUCUGCUUCCUAAACAUACCACAGUAGCCUUGCUUUCCAGAAUUAGCAGUGAACAGAGCGUGAGAGUCAGAAGUUCUGAUUUCCAGACCUGAGUUCCUUCCAGCCAGGCUCCAGCCCUGAAGAGCCUGCAGAAUGAUACUAACCAGAAAUACUGAAAGGCCAAAAGGGCCCUUAAAAUGUAUUCCUCAUGUUACAGAUGAGGAAACUGUCCCAGUGUGGAAAAGUGAUUUGCUCAAGGACGCCUCACUGGUUAAGGCAGAUCUGAGACAGGUUUGCCAACUGCCAGGUGGUUGGUAUUGGUUCCAUUCCACCACAGGGCCUGGUCUCUAAGUUCCAAAAGUCACUGAUCAAGGUCUAGUGGAUCACCCAUGACCCAUCCAGCAUGUCCCAAAAGCCCAACAAGUCUGUCUAACAAACCCAGAGUGCACCCUCUUUCUCAGGGCUCUCAGAACACAGAG
rnacentral:lncRNA from 12 species